rnacentral:rRNA from 1 species
UACAGAGGGGGCAAGCGUUGUUCGGAAUUACUGGGCGUAAAGGGCGCGUAGGCGGCCUGUUAGGUCGAACGUGAAAUCCCUGGGCUCAACCCAGGAACUGCGUCCGAUACUGGCAGGCUUGAAUUCGGGAGAGGGAUGCGGAAUUCCAGGUGUAGCGGUGAAAUGCGUAGAUAUCUGGAGGAACACCGGUGGCGAAGGCGGCAUCCUGGACCGAUAUUGACGCUGAGGCGCGAAAGCCAGGGGAGCAAACGGG